rnacentral:tRNA from 1 species
UUAAAAAUAAGCUAAAUAUAAGCUUUUGGGCUCAUACCUCAAAUAUAAAGACAAUCUUUUUUUUAAA